rnacentral:rRNA from 1 species
GAUGAACGCUGGCGGCGUGCUUAACACAUGCAAGUCGAACGGAAAGGCCUCUUUUGGUGGGUCGUCGAGUGGCGAACGGGUGAGUAACACGUGAGUAACCUGCCCUUAACUUUGGGAUAACCUCAGGAAACUGGGUCUAAUACCGGAUAGGAGCGCCUGCUGCAUGGUGGGGGUUGGAAAGUUUCGGCGGUUGGGGAUGGACUCGCGGCCUAUCAGCUUGUUGGUGGGGUAGUGGCUCACCAAGGCGAUGACGGGUAGCCGGCCUGAGGGGGUGACCGGCCACAUAGGGACUGAGGGAAGGCCCAGGCGUCUAAGGGGGGGAACAGGGGGGAAGAAUGCUCCAUGGGUGGCAAGCUGGUGCCGCAGCCCCGUGGGCGGGAAGGCCGGCUUCGGGGUGUAAAACGCUUUCGAGCAUGGAACAAGUUUAUGUGACGGUACCUGCAGAAGAAGCACCGGCUAACUACGUG